CAUGAACGUCCCUGUGCGUCGUCGUCAAGGCAAUGUCACUAGUCCGGGGCCAGCUCACCCUACCUUCCCACCGAGGGGAGUCUGUUGUAGAGAUCAUGAAGUGACAGAUGAUAGAUGGCGUUUAUACCCUAGAGGUGGCUGCAUGCCUGUUUCUGAAUAUGAUACAUGUUGCAGGAGCAAAGGGAAAAAGCAUCACCGGAGAUGAUGGAUUACACAGAACAGCCCUAUGCAGUUUACCACCGUGCUGUGCUGGAGGGCAAGCGGGCCACCCUGAGUGCUAGCACUUGCAACCAAUUCAGACACAUUGAGGAAGUGUCCUUUGCCUGAAGGGGCAGGAAGAGGGAGACCUAUUAACUGAUCUUACAUAGGAUAUGUGUUCUUCUUCUGCAUGAUUCGAUGAGAGCAGAAAAUAAAAUCCGAACAGGAUGUUUCCAUCAUA